rnacentral:rRNA from 1 species
GACGAACGCUGGCGGCGUGCUUAACACAUGCAAGUCGAACGGAAAGGCCCUGCUUUUGUGGGGUGCUCGAGUGGCGAACGGGUGAGUAACACGUGAGUAACCUGCCCUUGACUUUGGGAUAACUUCAGGAAACUGGGGCUAAUAUCGGAUAGGAGCUCCUGCUGCAUGGUGGGGGUUGGAAAGUUUCGGCGGUUGGGGAUGGACUCGCGGCUUAUCAGCUUGUUGGUGGGGUAGUGGCUUACCAAGGCUUUGACGGGUAGCCGGCCUGAGAGGGUGACCGGCCACAUUGGGACUGAGAUACGGCCCAGACUCCUACGGGAGGCAGCAGUGGGGAAUAUUGCACAGUGGGCGGGAGCCUGAUGCAGCAACGCCGCGUGCGGGAUGACGGCCUUCGGGUUGUAAACCGCUUUCGCCUGUGACGAAGCGUGAGUGACGGUAAUGGGUAAAGAAGCACCGGCUAACUACGUG